CUUUCUUUAUCCUGCACUAUCUGUCAGGCAUAGAAACCAGAAACAGCAGUGAUUAUAUGUUUUUGCAGAACUACUGGGGCUUGCUGUGAAAAUAUUGUUCUUGGGGUUACAUAAAAAUAUCCAGUCAUAACUAACUGCCUCAGUGGAUGCUUUUCUGGAGAGGAGGCAUCAUGAUUCAGUCUUUCAAACAGGUAGAAAGCCUCUUCGGGACCCUGAAUAACUGGGUCCCCACUGGUGGGGACAAGUGGCGCCCGAACACAGGGACCCCGAAGCAAGGCCGACUACAGGACGAUGGAGAUAAGAGAGCUGCAGCGGGAAUCAAGGACUCUUCAGGCCGCAUCGCUCGUGCAUCGCUGGAGAGGGAAGAUGCUACAGGAGUGUGCCAGCUGCCUGAUGGCUGGUGAGACUUGCUGAUCCUGUGAGCAUGAAGAUUCAGCUCUCCUGGUUCGGGUCCCUGGAGUCAUUCCUGUGUCCUUG
ensembl:lncRNA